rnacentral:snRNA from 1 species
AUGCUCACUUUGGUGGCACACAUACUACAUUGGAAUAAUACAGAGAAGAUUAGUAUUGCUCCUAUGUGAGGGAGACAUGUAAAUUCCUAAAGCGUUCCAUUAAAUA